rnacentral:ncRNA from 1 species
AAAUUUUAUUUUAGUUUAAAUAAUUAAUGUAUAUAUUUAUAGUAUAUGUAAAUUUUUGUUUUUAUGUUUUUAUUAUUAAAUAUAUUAAAAAUAUUAUUUUAUUCACAGUAUUUAAUUUUAUAUAUUAAAGAAAUUUAGAUUUAGAAAUUUAUAAUAAUAUUAACAAAAUUUGUGCCAGCAGUUGCGGUUAUUCAUAUAAUGUAAUUAUUUAUUUUUAAUUAGUAAUUAAUUGUAUUAAUAAUAUAAUUAGAAUAUUAGUUUAUUAGGUGAAAUUAUAAAUUAAUAAUAAUUUAUAUUAUGUUAAAUGAAGUUAUUAAAUUUUAUCUUAAACUAGGAUUAGAUACCCUAUUAUAAAAUUGUAAAUUAGAAGUAUUAAAGUAUUAUAAGUUAUAGUCUUUAAAUUUAAAAAAUUUGGCGGUAUUUUAGUCUUUUUAGAGGAACCUGUUUUGUAAUUGAUAAUCCACGAUUAGAUAAACUUAUUUUGUAAAUUUGUAUAUCGUUGUAGUUGAAUAUUUUAGUAGAUAAUUUAAUAUUCAUAAUAUUUUAUUUUAAAAAGUAAAUCAAAUCAAGGUGCAGUUGAUAAAUAAGAAUGUAAUGGGUUACAAUAAAAAUAUUUAUGGAUUUAUAAUUUUAAACUUAUAAUCAAAUUGGAUUUAAUUGUAAUUAAAUUUAUAUAAAUUUAAUGAUUUUAGCUCUAAAGUAUGUACAUAUUGCCCGUCGCUCUCACUUAAAAUGAGAUAAGUCGUAACAAAGUAAAUGUACUGGAAAGUGUAUUUAGAUAAAU